ensembl:piRNA 21ur-2725 ncRNA
UCCUGUUAGCAAUGAUUAUUU